rnacentral:rRNA from 1 species
GAUGAACGCUGGCGGCGUGCCUAAUACAUGCAAGUCGAACGCUGGAAAUCUAGCUUGCUAGAUUGAAGGAGUGGCAAACGGGUGAGUAAUACAUAAGCAACCUACCCACGAAGACUGGGAUAAUCUCUGGAAACGGGGACUAAUACCGGAUAGGUAAUCGGAAGGCAUCUUCUGAUUAUUAAAGGUUAAAAACACUGGUGGAUGGGCUUAUGGCGCAUUAGUUAGUUGGUGAGGUAACGGCCCACCAAGACGAUGAUGCGUAGCCGGCCUGAGAGGGUGAACGGCCACAUUGGGACUGAGACACGGCCCAGACUCCUACGGGAGGCAGCAGUAGGGAAUUUUCGGCAAUGGGGGAAACCCUGACCGAGCAACGCCGCGUGAGUGAUGACGGCCUUCGGGUUGUAAAGCUCUGUUGUAAGGGAAGAACGGUAGAUAGAGAAUAUCUAAAUGACGGUACCUUACCAGAAAGCCACGGCUAACUACGUG